rnacentral:rRNA from 1 species
GUAGGUGGCAAGCGUUGUCCGGGAAUUAUUGGGGGCGUAAAGCGCGCGCAGGCGGUUCUUUAAGCCUGAUGUGAAAGCCCACGGGCUCAACCGUGGAGGGUCAUUGGAAACUGGAGAACUUGAGUACAGAAGAGGAAAGCGGAAUUCCACGUGUAGCGGUGAAAUGCGUAGAGAUGUGGAGGAACACCAGUGGCGAAGGCGGCUUUCUGGUCUGUAACUGACGCUGAGGCGCGAAAGCGUGGGGAGCAAACAGGAUUAGAUACCCUGGUAGUCCACGCCGUAAACGAUGAGUGCUAAGUGUUAGGGGGUUUCCGCCCCUUAGUGCUGCAGCUAACGCAUUAAGCACUCCGCCUGGGGAGUACGGCCGCAAAGGCUGA